rnacentral:snRNA from 1 species
UUUUUAGCUAAAACAACUU